rnacentral:rRNA from 1 species
AUUGAUCGCUGGCGGCAUGCCUUACACAUGCAAGUCGAACGGUAACGGGCCUUCGGGUGCCGACGAUUGGCGAACGGGUGAGUAAUACAUCGGAACGUGCCCGAUCGUGGGGGAUAACGAGGCGUAAGCUUUGCUAAUCCCGCAUACGAUCUACGGUUGAAAGCAGGGGACCGCAAUGCCUUGCUCGGGCGGAUCGGCCGAUGGGAGAUUAGGUUGUUCGUGGGAUAAAAGCUUACCAAGCCGACGAUCUGUAGCUGUUCUGAGCGGAGGAUCAGCCACACUGGGAGUGAGACAGGGACAAGAGUCCUACGGGAGGCAGCAGUGGGGAAUGUUGGACAAUGGGGGCAAACCUGGUACAGCGAUGCCGAGUGCAAGAUGAAGACGUUCGGGUUGUAAACUGCUUUUGUACGGAACGAAAAGCCUUCUUUUAAUACAGGGGGGUCAUGACGGUACCGUAAGAAUAAGCACCGGCUAACUACGUG